AAAAACAAGACACUCUGUUCCAACAAAAUCUUUCUUCCUGAUGCAUCACAGCAUCCUCUUUAUAACAGAGGACCAAACUCCUAAUUUCUAAUCUUUUAUUCCGUUCUUCCUCCCCUUCUUGCUUCCUCCAUUCCACAACCUGGUGACAAUUUCUACAGUGUACCAGCCUUGGGGACAAAUGAAAACAGAAGCGCAGUAACUUGGCAAGAAAGUUUGUCCUUACUGAGAUCUUCAAGGAACAGAAAGAGCUGUGAGACACACUGACCACAACAAAGUCCUGGUUGAUUUCCAAGGAUGGAUGAGGUGAAGAGAGAAAUGCCACAGUGAAAUAGACCAGCAGCUAUGAGAUGCCAUUAUCCACAACACCGGUACUACAGGCAGAGCCCUGACCUAGAAGCCAGGAGACAAGGCUCCAAUCCAGCUCUUGACCUUCAGAUUUCCUUCACUUAGCGUAAAUGAGAAGAUGAGAAGAAGAGAUGCAGUCUCCAGUUUCCUAAAUAACUAGGUCUGGAUACAAUAAUCUGAAUUCUCUAUUACUCCAUAGAGUAUUUCUACGAGUUUGUUUUGGGGAGACUAGGAAUACAGAAGGCAAUGAUUUCCAAAGAUGAAAUGAUACCUGUAGCAGAGAGCAGACUGUUUUAAUGGUUAAACUACUUUUAUUUACUAGAAACAAGCUUUCCCUUGAACCUACAGUUAAAAAUAAGGGGAAAAUGCUUAGUAAACCCUAAAUCAUUGAAUUAUUGGAGGGAAUCAGAGUAGCUCUACACCCCCUUAAUUAAUAGGGAAUGAACAAGCAAUUCAGCUGUGGGUGGAAUUUUUACUUUAACUCAAUUUAAAAACAAAAAAAUACAUAUUUCUCUGGUAAUUCUAAAAUAAAUGCACUUAUCUCCAUAAAUCCUUGGAGUAU
rnacentral:lncRNA from 1 species